rnacentral:misc_RNA from 1 species
GGAGAAUCAAACAAUGGAUCCUAAUCAUGCAUUCAAAACCACUAGCUAGCUACUAGUAAGUCAUGCAGCAAUCAAGAAAUAUGCACUUUUACACUUCAUUCAUCAAAAGAGUUUUCCAAAUGCUUUCACAACAUUGGAGAUUUCUCUUCUCAUCAACCUUCAAACUUCAUUCUUCCAAAAUUUGUUGCAAUUUUUUUAACCAGUUGUAUAUCUCCUGCAAAAGGCUUCUCUUUCUCUUUUUCUUUCUCUCCCUUCACGAGUGCUGAAUAUACCCAAAGGCCACCGACCGAAGGUCAUCGGAAUCUUGACAAGUCCAUUGCUUCUUGUCUGUUUGCAUGUCAAGGGAAGAAAUGGAAUGAGAAGCCUCUUCAAAGCUAUCAAAUGAAGUACUUGUUGAAGAAUUUCCAUAACUUCCCACGGAGUAUGGAUCCAUAAACCCAUUUUCGCCAUAUGUUGUGUUUCCAGUACUGAGGCUUGGAUUGAAUUGUGGCACCAUGUUUGAAUUCUCUGGCUGAAACCAGCUUUGAAGAUCUUGUGGAAGAGAAGCUGGUUUUCCAUAGUACUUUUCAUUAGGGUUUGCUGCGGCAGAGCCAUUGAGCAAGCUUUGAGCUGCUUGUUCUUUGAGAGAAGCAAGUUGCGCCUGCAGAUUCAUGACCUGCUGUUGGAGAGCAAAAAUGUGUGAAACACAGCCAUAGAUGGGAUCUUGAAGCCUAGCUUGAGCUUCAUAAGAAAUUGUAACUGCAGCCUCACAUCGAUCACUCACAGGGAGGUGAGCAAGCAACUUUGACACAUUGCUUGCACCGAAAACCUUGUGAAUGGCUGCAAAAUGUGUAGCACCUUGUUCAUGGCAGAAAUAAGGUGCAAAAACACAACCCCUCACACAUUUCCUUCUCAAGAAUUUGCAGGCACCGCAAGGAGGAC